CAUAGCUGUACCACAGAGCUGUACCACAUUACUGUACCACAGAGCUGUACCACAUUACUGUACCACAUAGCUGUACCACGGAGCUGUACCACAGAGUAACAUUCUGUCCACCAACUGGUGCCCAGCCCACAUGGGCUUAUAGGACACCAUAUCAAGUAUCAAAACAUUACAUUAAACAAAUGUAAUGCCUUUAACAAUUAAAUGUGUAAUUAGCAAACACAUGUUCAAAUACAUACAGGUUCACAUACUGUACAAAUACAUACAGGUACACAUACUGUACAAAUACAUACAGGUUCACAUACUGUACAAAUACAUACAGGUACACAUACUGUACAAAUACAUACAGGUACACAUACUGUACAAAUACAUAAAGGUACACAUACUGUACAAAUACAUAAAGGUACACAUACUGCUCAAAUACAUACAGGUACACAUACUGCUCAAAUACAUAAAGGUACA
ensembl:lncRNA